rnacentral:rRNA from 1 species
GAAACUAACAAGGAUUCCCCUAGUAACUGCGAGUGAAGCGGGAAAAGCUCAAAUUUAAAAUCUGGCGGUCUUUGGCCGUCCGAGUUGUAGUCUGGAGAAGUGCUUUCCGCGCUGGACCGUGUAUAAGUCUCUUGGAACAGAGCGUCAUAGAGGGUGAGAAUCCCGUCUUUGACACGGACUACCAGUGCUUUGUGAUGCGCUCUCAAAGAGUCGAGUUGUUUGGGAAUGCAGCUCAAAAUGGGUGGUGAAUUCCAUCUAAAGCUAAAUAUUGGCGAGAGACCGAUAGCGAACAAGUACCGUGAGGGAAAGAUGAAAAGCACUUUGGAAAGAGAGUUAAACAGUACGUGAAAUUGCUGAAAGGGAAACGCUUGAAGUCAGUCGCGUUGUCCGGAACUCAGCCUUGCUUUCGCUUGGUGCACUUUCCGGAUGACGGGUCAGCAUCGAUUUUGACCGUCGGAAAAGGGCUGGAGUAAUGUGGCACCUCCGGGUGUGUUAUAGACUCUGGUCGCAUACGACGGUUGGGAUCGAGGAACGCAGCGCGCCGCAAGGCAGGGGUUCGCCCACUUUCGCGCUUAGGAUGCUGGCAUAAUGGCUUUAAACGACC